GAGGGACUGGCAGAAGGGUAAUGCGUAGCUCUCCUACUGAUUGGACAAUGGGUUUUCCACCCGGGACCAAGCUAAGCUAAGAUUGUGGGUUCGAGUCCCACGUUCCUCG
rfam:Emmonsia sp. CAC-2015a strain CBS 136260 supercont2.715, whole genome shotgun sequence.